rnacentral:rRNA from 1 species
AUGAGGCGCGAUGAACGUUGCAGUUUCAUGUGCAUUUGCGCCAGGGAGAUAUUCAGCCGUGGCAGCGGAAGAGAUAACAGCGAGGAUGAUUCAUGGUUCACAUCGGAGAAGAUGGUGACCGUGAGUGACCUAGUGCGGCGGUUGACCCCCAUGGGCUAUACAGCCCACAUGCCUAACAUUGAAUCAAGGCCCAUGUGCGGCAGCAGCAAACACAGCCCACAUACAGCUCAGGCAACCCACGUGCAGUCCAAUCGUUGGAAGUCGGGGAAGGCAGCGAGAGUUAGCGCACGACAGCUGAUUGCGUUCAUAGUUGAUGGAAUGGCUAAUAAUAAUUCAGGUGACGUGGCUGCGCGCGAAGCGAGGAAAAUCAGGUAA